GACGAACGCUGGCGGCGUGCUUAACACAUGCAAGUCGAACGGAAAGGCCUGCUUUCCCUUGUGGAUUGCGGGUACUCGAGUAGCGAACGGGUGAGUAACACGUGAGUGAUCUGCCCCCAACUUGGGUAUAAGCCUGGGAAACUGGGUCUAAUUCCCGAUAGGACUGCAGGGUGGUGCCUGUGGUGGAAAACGAUUUUCUAGUGGUUGGGGAUGAGCUCGCGGCCUAUCAGCUUGUUGGUGGGGUAAUGGCCUACCAAGGCGGCGACGGGUAGCCGGCCGGGGAGGGUGGACGGCCACAUUGGGACUGAGAGACGGCCCAGACUCCUACGGGAGGCAGCAGUGGGGAAUAUUGCACAAUGGGCGGAAGCCUGAUGCAGCGACGCCGCGUGGGGGAUGACGGCCUUCGGGUUGUAAUCUCCUUUCCACCGCGAGGAAGCCACCUGGUUGGAAGGGUGGUGACGGUAGUGGUAGAAGAAGCACCGGCUAACUACGUG
rnacentral:rRNA from 1 species